CGAGAGGAAACUCUUAGUUUCCCUUUGCCCGGUAACCUUUUUGUGUGUAACCUUUUCGCAGAAUUGCUAACGUGGCUCACAUUACGAUGUCACAACAAAACGCCUUUCUAUAUGCAUAAAGAAACGGUGAGACUUCAGGGAGUACAGGAGACCACCGGGACUACAUAAAUGAACAGGGGAAUGAAAACUACACAAAGCCGCAUACACAUAGGUUGGACAGUCGGGAAAUGGUCGUUUCUGUGUUGACAAUUCUCCUACGCGUUUUUCACUUCUCCAUAUUCAGCCUCGGAGUAGCCUCAGCCUCUUUGCUAGACGCUCUGUCAGUAUCCUUAUGCACACUCAACAACCACACCCGUACCAAACAAAAUGACAGGCCAUGAUGGCACACCAAGAAAAUGAUUCCCAUAUGAAAUAGAAUCCAUAGCAAAGGCCUUGGAUAUUCAUCACAAGCCGUCUCAUACCUAGGACUUAAACGCUCCUUCCUAUUCUACAUUUCUGCAUGAAGAACAUGAGAAAUUUGAGGACAAAAAAUUCGCUAGCCAGCAUAGUCGCAGAAUAUUCACACCGUUCAAGACGUGAAGAUCAAUCAAAAACCAAUAAAGAAAGAACGUUUCGAAAUAUAUAAACCUCGCCCCAUUCCUGAUUGCCCUCAGAACCAUUUAACUUAACCUACAGAAUCCCGAUCCACAGGGAAAAAAAAAAAGACAUUAGGAACUAGUUAUUAACGAGUGUCAUCAGUUGGGAAAUCAUAAAUAAAGUAAAAAGCCCCCAUCCCGCCCCACCGGAUAAAUGACAGAUAAGAAAGUAAAAAAUUGGGUAUCAUUGUUGUGCAAUGCCAAACAUUAACCAAUCCUAUUCACCCAGGAAGUAUCAUCAGCCGAAACAAAAGUAGAUAAGACAAGCAGAGCAGCCGGAGGAUAGUCACAGACGCCCUAAGACAGAACAAAACGGGUACAGUUCGUUCGCGGCAGAUGGAGGAUUCGCGAUGCUAAGGAAAGUAAUUUGUGAUCCGUGUGUGACUUUUGGGAGUCGCUGCUAUAUUAAUGUUUUGGAUUUCCAGCACGCGCCAAUAUAAAAAUUUUCACUCUAGCAUUUUUCUUUUCUUUAUUCUUUCUCCAUUCUAGGUCAAUGUUCUCGUACGCCCUCAGGCUAUACCGGGUCAGUCUUGAACCUGUCGUCAUCCCCAUUUUUCUCUUUAUCUUUUCGUUUUCGGUCCAGGGAUAGUAGCAGGAGAAGAAACAAACAGGGGUUGGCGAUAUUAAGUCGAAGUCAUAUGGAAGAACCGAUAGAAUUUUCUCUGCGAACGUUGUAACAACAAGGCUGAGGGAGCAAACAGGGAACAACGUAAUUACUCCGACAAAGCAAAAGCAGACGUACACUUCCACAUCGUACUGUACAUAGCCACGGGAAGAAAACCCUCACCGUAUCCUAGAAUUAUCUCUUAAGUGGGGCC
rnacentral:sRNA from 1 species